UCCCUCCAGAUCCCUUAGCCAUCCAGCCUGAAUAUUGGUCCGAGUGGAUGAAAAUAACAGCAGAAAAGGAAAACUGAAAUGGACUUGGAAUGUUUAGUGGCAAACAAGUUCAUUUCAAACAUAU
rnacentral:snoRNA from 1 species